UACAGAGGUCCCAAGCGUUGUUCGGAUUCACUGGGCGUAAAGGGUGCGUAGGUGGCAGGGUAAGUUUGAUGUGAAAUCUCCGGGCUUAACCCGGAAACUGCAUUGAAUACUAUCCUGCUCGAGGCUCGGAGGGGGGCGUGGAAUUCCGGGUGGAGCGGUGAAAUGCGUAGAGAUCCGGAGGAACACCGACGGCGAAGGCAGCGCCCUGGACGAGACCUGACGCUCAGGCACGAAAGCUGGGGGAGCAAACAGG
rnacentral:rRNA from 1 species